rnacentral:rRNA from 1 species
GCUAGUAAUCGCGAAUCAGAAUGUCGCGGUGAAUACGUUCCCGGGCCUUGUACACACCGCCCGUCACACCAUGAGAGUCGAUAACACCCGAAGCCUGUGAGCUAACCUUUUAGGAGGCAGCAGUCGAAGGUGGGGUUGAUGAUUGGGGUGAAGUCGUAACAAGGUACC